rnacentral:tRNA from 1 species
UUGAGCGUAGUUUAAAAAAAAUAUAAAUUUUGUAAAUUUAAGAUAAUCUCUCAAA